CAAGGUGUUUCCCUUUGCCUGGAAACGGGGAGGUGUGGCUGGGGCAGGGCCUGCAGGGGAGCAGCUCAACUAAAAAGUGGGAGAGGAACCCCUGCCUGUGAGGACCAACUGCCCUGGCUGAAGGAGAUAAGUGAGUGGAACAGCAUUUCUGGACUAAGGGCUUGGCUUGCAAAGGUGCUGGGUCCAUAUUGUGUGCUGGGAGAGCGGGGUUCCAACCCGACCUGGGACAAGAGGUCUGGACCAGGACCGGCCCCAGUAAACACACCUGCCGCCUGCGCUUCCGACCAUGUACUCCUACAGCUGCCUGGAGCCCGGGGAAGGCGCCUGGCCUCCGCUGCAGCCGCUCACCUACACCUACCUGCCUGGCCCCCUGCUGCUGCCCUCCAUCCAGGCCCCGAGCGCCAGCGGCCGGGCGGCCCCGCGGGAGUACCACUGUUUCCACGGCGCGGGCGCGUGCCCGGGGGCCGCGCCGCUCUGGUGGGCCUUCCCGCCGGCCUACGCCGCCGCCCUGCCCCCGCCGCUUCCGGCGCCCGGCUACCCGGGGGCGUUGAUGCCGGCGCCCGCGGAGGCGGGGGCCGCGAGCUGGGCGCCGUGGCCCGAGGGCGGCAGCCUGCAGGCGGAGCUGCGCUGGGGCCGCGUGGAGCGCGCGUGGGGCCCGCGCCUGGAGCUGCCGGACUUCGUGCGCCGGGAGCUGCGGCGCGUGUACGGCACGUACCCCCGCACCGACGUGCGCGUCACUUUCCGGGGCGGCGAGUUCCUGCUGCGGGCCGCGCCGCGCGUGGGCGAGCCCGAGGUCCGCGCGCGGAGGCGCCUGCUGCGCCCGCCCGCCAGCAGCGGCAGCGGCAGCGGGGACAGCAGCCCCGCCGGGGAAGCGGCGGAGCGCGGCCGCCGAAAGGCGAGGACAGGCCUGGGCUGAGGGCGCCGCUCCUCCUCGGCCAGAAGGGAGACCUCGGUUUGCACGGGGGCUGGGUGCCCCGGUCACCUGUCCGCUUUGCCCUGACCCACUGCCCGCCGCCCCUCUCCCGCGCGGCCUUGAUGUCUCUCCUGUUGUUGCCGGUCCACACAUCCAGUUUUAACUAUGGGCUAGCUAGCCAGACCUCCUGAUGUGAUACCUCGGCUGUAUAAAUCUGGCUCCUUGUGGAAUUGCUUUUACUGAACUUUCAUGUAAGUGGCCAAAGCUGCCUGGGCAUUCAGCUAUGUUAUUGAAGAUAUAGAUCGUUUGAUUGAACACUACUGUGUCUGAGCUUCAUGGAAAGUUCUCUGAAACCUCAGCACUUGGGGAAGGUUUCUCCUGGCAUUUGAGAGCCUACAAUAGGCCAGGCAGUAUUUGAGACACUGGGGCUACAGGAGAAACCCAAAGACAAGUCAACAUCAUGUGAUCUCUGAUAUGUUAAACUGGAAAACACCACAUCAAUUCAGCAGUAAUGCAUAAUCAUGAGGAAACAUCAGAUAAUCGUAAAUUGAGACACAACCCCGCUGGUCUUUAUUGUUCAAAAAUAUCAUAAAAGACAAAGGAAGGCAGAGAAACUGUUUCUGGUCACAGGAGACUAAAGAAACAUGAAAGCAACGCAAUGAUCCUGUUUGGGAACUCAGACCAGAAUAAAAAUUGUUAUGAAGGACAUUAUUGGGACAAGGAGCAAGAUUUGAAAUAAGGACGACAGAGAGAGAAAGCAGCAGGGCAAAAGGUUAAUGGUUGGUAAAUAUGGUAGAAGGAUAAGCAAGAGUUCUUUGCACUAUUCUGGCAACUUUCUUGUAAGUUUGUAAUAAUCUCUAACUAAAAAUAAAAAUGUAAAUAGUAAAUUGAAUCUCUGGGUCAAAAGGAUACACAUUUAAAAUGUACUACAUAUCUAUAUUACAGAUUUUGUUUUAAUCUUGGAGAAUUGUCUUUAUGCAUGUAAACCCCCUCAAAUCUUGUUUUGAAACAAGGCAGGUUUCAAGUAAAUCUUGGGUU